CAGAAAAGAAAAUGUUUACAACAGUGAAAAAUCGAUCUAAAAUAUUAUGGAAAUACAUAUGUUGUUGUUGCUCAUCAUCAAAGAAAACAACACAGAAAGAGCCAGAAGUCCGGAUUCCACUGGAGGAUGUUACGGAGCCCAUCAGCCUGG